UGGGGUAUCGCCAAGUGGUAAGGCAUUGGUUUUUGGUACCAAUAUGCGCUGGUUCGAUCCCAGCUACCCCAACUA
rnacentral:tRNA from 1 species